AUUUAAGAUCAUCUUUGCUUCUGGGGUCCUCUUUAGACACUCCCUGCUGCACUGCAUAAUUCUAGAAGCCUAUUUGGGGGAAGUCCUUGUCUUUUAAAUUGUAUUUGUUGAAACUGGAUUUCAUCGUUACAUCGAUCCUCCACGGAUCUAUUAUCAUUUUAGCAUUUCCUCAUUUUGUGACCAAAGAAGCGGGAACUUCAACCACCAAUAAUCCUCACCCCACUGCAGACUACAGGAACCAAAAACACAGCUUCCAAUUCAUCUGCCCACUUCUGUCUAGGCUUGUUGGGCUUCUUCAAGAACUCACCAAGAUGCUGAUGUAUUCCAAGUGGAUUUAGCUGAUGGAGACAGUUAAACUGCAGUGACUGUAUGCACCUCACAGCAGCUAUUGCUCAGGUAUGUUUUCUUGACUUUCAGAGCUGACUCCCAGGUAGGAUUAGCCCUUUACUUUUGUUGACAUUUCAUUUAUUUAGUUAUUGUUUUGUUGUUAUUGAUAUUCUAAUAUUUUGUUUUUGUUGAUAUAUAAGUUUAUUAUUCCUUCCCUCUCUUGCCUUAGUCAUGGUCAUUGCUAUGCCUCUUUCUACAACAGAGACUUAAUGAAUCUGUGUCUUGUCUCAGAAUAUUGAGUUGGUCUCAACCAUAUAUAGAGAGCACCUUAUUAAGCACCUUACUUAAUAACCAGUAUGUUAUUCCCCAUGACUGGCAGCAAGGGUUGGAAAUCUGGUUUUAUUGUCUGAAUAUUUUGGUGGUGUCUAUUAGGAUAAUAGAUGCCUAUUGAGAUGAGAUGGUUGGAUGGCAUCACCGACUCAAUGGACAUGAGUUUCAGUAAACUCCGGGAGUUGGUGAUGGACAGGGAGGCCUCGCGUGCUGCAGUCCAUGGGGUUGCAAAGAGUCGGACAUGACUGAGUGACUGAAUUGAACUGCACUGAUUUUCUGUUGGAUGAGGGACAAGAGAGAGAAUCAUUUGUUAAUGUAUUUUUGCUUAUUUUGUCUAUUUUCUUUAUUUGUGAAGUCAAAUUGAUUAAGAAAAUAUUUCCUGUCAACUACAAAUGAGAACAGCUUUUUGCAAGCUAAUCCAGUUAAUUUUGUGUUCAGUGUUUAUUUUUGGUCCAUGUCUGAG
rnacentral:lncRNA from 1 species